rnacentral:rRNA from 1 species
AACGAACGCUGGCGGCAUGCCUAACACAUGCAAGUCGAACGAGACCUUCGGGUCUAGUGGCGCACGGGUGCGUAACGCGUGGGAACCUGCCCUUAGGUUCGGAAUAACUCCCCGAAAGGGGUGCUAAUACCGGAUAAUGUCUUCGGACCAAAGAUUUAUCGACUUUGGAUGGGCCCGCGUUGGAUUAGCUAGUUGGUAGGGUAAAAGCCUACCAAGGCGACGAUCCAUAGCUGGUCUGAGAGGAUGGUCAGCCACACUGGGACUGAGACACGGCCCAGACUCCUACGGGAGGCAGCAGUGGGGAAUAGUGGACAGUGGGCGAAAGCCUGAUCCAGCAAUGCCGCGUGAGUGAUGAAGGCCUUAGGGUUGUAAAGCUCUUUUACCCGGGAUGAUAAUGACAGUACCGGGAGAAUAAGCUCCGGCUAACUCCGUG